AAUAGAAGAAAAGACAGGCGGAAGUUUCCUCCAAGACAGGAUUCGAUGCCAUGGGCUUCACUGCACUGAUGGUUGUAUUUAGCUUAUUUAGAGGAAAAAUAUGUGCUGGAAUUUAAGGAAGUGUGUGAGGACGUGUCGUCUGGGACAGACACUGGAUCUAGUUCUGAUUAAUUGUGGCAAAGUUUCUGAAUAAACUCCUUUAUGAACUUGAA